CUUCCGAAGGAGGCUAAUACAGCAUAAGACCACGGUCUCGGAGACGAGAUUGAGGUCAAAAGCCGGCCUCUUCAUGAAAGCUGGCGCCAGGGGGGAUGAGCCUGCGGCCCAUCAGGUAGUUGGUAGGGUAAUGGCCUACCAAGCCUAAGACGGGUAGCUGGUCUGAGAGGAUGAUCAGCCACACUGGAACUGAGACACGGUCCAGACUCCUACGGGAGGCAGCAGUGGGGAAUCUUGCGCAAUGGCGAAAGCCUGACGCAGCGACGCCGCGUGAGUGAUGAAGGCCCUCGGGUUGUAAAGCUCUGUGGAGGGGGACGAAUAAGUGUUGGCUAAUAUCCAGCAUGAUGACGGUACCCCUUUAGCAAGCACCGGCUAACUCUGUGCCAGCAGCCGCGGUAA
rnacentral:rRNA from 1 species